rnacentral:rRNA from 1 species
UACGUAGGUGGCAAGCGUUGUCCGGAAUUAUUGGGCGUAAAGCGCGACGCAGGCGGUCCUUUAAGUCUGAUGUGAAAGCCCACGGCUCAAACCGUGGAGGGUCAUUGGAAACUGGGGGACUUGAGUGCAGAAGAGGAAAGCGGAAUUCCAGCGUGUAACGGUGAAAUGCGUAGAGAUGUGGAGGAACACCAGUGGCGAAGGCGGCUUUCUGGUCUGUAACUGACGCUGAGGCGCGAAAGCGUGGGGAGCAAACAGG